CCCUUAGAUGUCCUGGGCCGCACGCGCGCUACACUGAACGGAUCAGCGCGUUUUCCCUUCCCGAGAGGGACGGGUAACCUGCUGAACCCCGUUCGUGGUAGGGAUCGGGGCUUGCAAUUAUUCCCCGUGAACCAGGAAUGCCCAGUAAGUGCAAGUCAUAAGCUUGCGUUGAUUACGUCCCUGCCCUUUGUACACACCGCCCGUCGCUACUACCGAUUGAACGUUUUUGUGAGGUACUCGGACUGAGCCUCAGAAGAUUCACGUCUUUUGUGCUGCUCGGGAAGAUUCCCAAACUUGAGCGUUUAGAGGAAGUAAAAGUCGUAACA
rnacentral:rRNA from 1 species